GCCAGGUGUGGUGGCUCACACCUGUAAUCCCAGCACUUUGGGAGGCCGAGGUGGGUGGAUCACCUGAGGUCAGGAGUUCGAGACCAGCCUGACCAACAUGGUGAAACCCCGUCUCUA
rnacentral:SRP_RNA from 1 species